rnacentral:rRNA from 1 species
GUAACAAGGUUUCCGUAGGUGAACCUGCGGAAGGAUCAUUAUCGAGUUUUGACUGGGUUGUAGCUGGCCUUCCGAGGCAUGUGCACGCCCUGCUCAUCCACUCUACACCUGUGCACUUACUGUGGGUAUCAGAUCGUGAAGCGUGCUCUUUUACCGGAGCUUGUGAAGCGUGUCUGUGCCUGCGUUUAUCACAAACACUAUAAAGUAUCAGAAUGUGUAUUACGAUGUAACGCAUCUAUAUACAACUUUCAGCAACGGAUCUCUUGGCUCUCGCAUCGAUGAAGAACGCAGCGAAAUGCGAUAAGUAAUGUGAAUUGCAGAAUUCAGUGAAUCAUCGAAUCUUUGAACGCACCUUGCGCUCCUUGGUAUUCCGAGGAGCAUGCCUGUUUGAGUGUCAUGAAAUCUUCAACCUAUAAGCUUUUGUGGUUUGUAGGCUUGGACUUGGAGGCUUGUCGGCCUUGAUCGGUCGGCUCCUCUUAAAUGCAUUAGCUUGAUUCCUUGCGGAUCGGCUCUCGGUGUGAUAAUAUCUACGCCGCGACCGUGAAGUGUUUGGCGAGCUUCUAACCGUCUCACUUGAGAGACAACUUUAUGACCUCUGACCUCAAAUCAGGUAGGACUACCCGCUGAACUUAAGCAUAUCA